rnacentral:tRNA from 1 species
GGCCAGAGCUUGAAAUAAGUUUUUUAUUUACACUAAAAAGAUAGUUUGAUGAAACUUGG